AACGACUCUCGGCAACGGAUAUCUCGGCUCUCGCAUCGAUGAAGAACGUAGCGAAAUGCGAUACUUGGUGUGAAUUGCAGAAUCCCGCGAACCAUCGAGUCUUUGAACGCAAGUUGCGCCCGAAGCCAUCAGGCCGAGGGCACGUCUGGCUGGGCGUCACGCAAC
rnacentral:rRNA from 1 species